UCUAGUUGUUCUCUGGGCACAGGGAGGUGGGAAGGAAUCUACCCACCCACGAGGGAGCAAAAGCCAUAGGAUCCUGUCUAUGGCAGAAGAGGUUUACCCAGAGAUGUUGUGGGAAUGAAAGCCCAUGGAAGGAAGAGAGCUGGGAAUUCCUGUUUUGAAGGAGAGAGAGCUGACGGCAACUCUUACAUGGACCCAGAGUGGGGCAACUAACACAGGACCGCCAGGAGCAUAGGGCUGAGGGGCUGCGAGUGGGAAAUCUGGCCCUGGCCAGCUCUGAGGGAGGAGACUUGAACCAGGACCAUGCCGCCGCUUUCUGCCGGACGACGACAGCCAGGAGCCAGCGAGCGAGCGGGCGGGGGAGGCUCAGGCUAGAGUGUUGCAAUUUGCUCUGCCCGCUGCAGCGCAGCGGCCCCAAGGUGCAGUAUGUACAUGCAUUAAAAGGGGAGGCUUAUGUUUUGUCUCUUUCAAGAAUGGAGCCAAAAGACAGAGUAACUGAUUGACAUGCAUGU